rnacentral:lncRNA from 1 species
GCACCCUGUUCUGCGGAGCACCAUGAGAGGGGAGACCAAGAAGACUAAGAUGCAGUCCACCUCAAAGAGUACCUCCAGCACAGCACCAGCAGAACCUCGAAUCACAUCACAUCCAUUGCGGCCCUACUGUAUGCCGAAACCAGGUCAAUCACAAGCAUUCACAGGUGCCCAAGAUGAGCUGAGAGGUGUGGUUG